rnacentral:rRNA from 1 species
AGAUUGAACGCUGGCGGCAUGCCUAACACAUGCAAGUCGGAGCGGCAGCGCGGGGGCGACCCUGGCGGCGAGCGGCGGACGGGUGAGUAAGGCAUCGGAAUCUGCCCUGAUGUGGGGGAUAACGUAGGGAAACUUACGCUAAUACCGCAUACGACCGAGAGGUGAAAGCGGGGGGACCGAAAGGCCUCGCGCAGCAGGAUGAGCCGAAGUCGGAUUAGCUAGUUGGUAGGUAACGGCCUACCAAGGCGACGAUCCGUAGCUGGUCUGAGAGGACGACCAGCCACACUGGGACUGAGACACGGCCCAGACUCCUACGGGAGGCGAGC